rnacentral:rRNA from 1 species
CUACGGAGGGUGCAAGCGUUAAUCGGAAUUACUGGGCGUAAAGGGCGCGUAGGCGGUCUAUCAAGUCAGGUGUGAAAUCCCACGGCUCAACCGUGGAGGUGCAUCUGAAACUGAUAGACUUGAGUAUGGGAGAGGAAAGUGGAAUUCCCGGUGUAGAGGUGAAAUUCGUAGAUAUCAGGAGGAACACCAGUGGCGAAGGCGACUUUCUGGACCAAUACUGACGCUCAGGCGCGAAAGCGUGGGGAGCAAACAGGAUUAGAAACCCUAGUAGUCC